rnacentral:tRNA from 8 species
ACUUUUAAAGGAUAACAGCUAUCCAUUGACCUUAGGAGUCAAAAAUAUUGGUGCAACUCCAAAUAAAAGUA